rnacentral:rRNA from 1 species
AUUGAACGCUGGCGGCAGGCCUAACACAUGCAAGUCGAGCGGAUGAAGGGAGCUUGCUCCUGGAUUCAGCGGCGGACGGGUGAGUAAUGCCUAGGAAUCUGCCUGGUAGUGGGGGAUAACGUCCGGAAACGGGCGCUAAUACCGCAUACGUCCUGAGGGAGAAAGUGGGGGAUCUUCGGACCUCACGCUAUCAGAUGAGCCUAGGUCGGAUUAGCUAGUUGGUGGGGUAAAGGCCUACCAAGGCGACGAUCCGUAACUGGUCUGAGAGGAUGAUCAGUCACACUGGAAGUGAGACACGGUCCAUGCUCCUACGGGAGGCAGCAGUGGGGAAUAGUGGACAGUAGGCGGAAGCCUGGUCCAGCCAUGCCGCGUGUGUGGAGAAGGUGUUCGGAUUGUAAAGCACUUUAAGUGGGGAGGAACGGCAGUAAGUUAAGACCUUGCUGUUUUGACGUUACCGACAGAAUAAGCACCGGCUAACUUCGUG